rnacentral:rRNA from 1 species
ACUGCCGGUGACAAACCGGAGGAAGGUGGGGAUGACGUCAAGUCCUCAUGGCCCUUAUGGUAGGGCUUCACACGUCAUACAAUGGUCGGUACAGAGGGUUGCCAACCCGCGAGGGGGAGCUAAUCCCACAAAGCCGAUCGUAGUCCGGAUCGCAGUCUGCAACUCGACUGCGUGAAGUCGGAAUCGCUAGUAAUCGUGGAUCAGCAUGUCACGGUGAAUACGUUCCCGGGUCUU